rnacentral:rRNA from 1 species
CGACGUGAGGAACCUGCCUCAAAGAGGGGGGCAACAGUUGGAAACGACUGCUAAUACCGCAUAAGCCCACGGCUCGGCAUCGAGCAGAGGGAAAAGGAGCAAUCCGCUUUGAGAUGGCCUCGCGUCCGAUUAGCUAGUUGGUGAGAUAACAGCCCACCAAGGCGACGAUCAGUAGCCGACCUGAGAGGGUGAUCGGCCACAUUGGGACUGAGACACGGCCCAA